rfam:Picea glauca, whole genome shotgun sequence.
GAUAACAUGCUUGUGGAAGUUAAACAUUCAUAAUGACAUUGUUUUUUGAUCCUUCAUUGUCAACUCUUCCUAUCAUUAUGAAGCAUAAUUCAUCUAGUGUUGGAUUGUUCACCCACUUCAGAAAAACUUAUUAGAGUGACUAAGGAAAUAUUUGG